rnacentral:rRNA from 1 species
UACAGAGGGGGCAAGCGUUAUUCGGAAUUAUUGGGCGUAAAGGGCGCGUAGGCGGCCUGGCAAGUGGAAGGUGAAAUCCCUCGGCUUAACCGAGGAACUGCCCCCCAAACUGCUUGGCUUGAGACCGGGAGAGGUGAGUGGAAUUCCCAGUGUAGCGGUGAAAUGCGUAGAUAUUGGGAGGAACACCAGUGGCGAAGGCGGGUCUCUGGACAGUUCCUGACACUGAGACACGAAGGCCAGGGGAGCAAACGGG